GAGAGAGAGAGAAAUAAAAGGAGAGAGAGAGAGAAAAGGAGAGAUACAUUUAAGGAGAGAGAGAGGGAGAGAUAAAGAAAAGGAGAGAGAGAGAGAGAGAGAGAGAGAGAGAGAGAGAGAGAGAGAGAGAGAGAGAAAGAAAAGGAGAGCAAGAGGAAGAGAGAGAGAGAGAGAGAGAGAAUAAAAGGAGAGAGAGAGAAAUAAAAGGAGAGAGAGAGAGAAAAGGAGAGAUAAAGAAAAGGAGAGAGAGAGAUAAAGAAAAGGAGAGAGAGAGAGAGAGAGAGAGAGAGAGAGAAAAGGAAAGAAAUUGAAGGAGAGAGAGAGACAGAGAGAGAAAAGGAGAGCGAGAGAGAGAGAGAGACAGAGAGAGAGAAAAGGAGAGAAAUUGAAGGAGAGAGAGAGACAGAGAGAGAAAAGGAGAGCGAGAGAGAGAAAAAAGGAGAGAGAGAGAGAGGGAGAGGAAAGGAGGGAGAGAGAGAAAUAAAAGGAGAGAGAGCACACGCAGCAUAUGCGUGCUUCACUCCGCUCUAUGCUUAGGAGGAGCUUCAGGAUUUUCACUUGUUUCCGUGCAACAUCUCAUUUGAAGACUCGUUUACCAAGGAGCCUUUUCUCUCAGACGGGGGAAAGGUAUCUGGACUUCCCAGCUGACUGACAGACCCUGCAAUGUUGUCUUCCCUACCAUUAGACUGAAUGACCAGACCAGACCAGGCAGUGUUGUCGUCCCUACCAGUAGACUGAAUGACCAGACCAGACCAGGCAGUGUUGUCGUCCCUACCAGUAGACUGAAUGACCAGACCAGACCAGGCAGUGUUGUCUUCCCUACCAGUAGACUGAAUGACCAGACCAGACCAGGCAGUGUUGUCUUCCCUACCAGUAGUCUGAAUGACCAGACCAGACCAGGCAGUGUUGUCGUCCCUACCAGUAGACUGAAUGACCAGACCAGACCAGGCAGUGUUGUCUUCCCUACCAGUAGACUGAAUGACCAGACCAGACCAGGCAGUGUUGUCUUCCCUACCAGUAGACUGAAUGACCAGACCAGGCAGUGUUGUCUUCCCUACCAGUAGACUGAAUGACCAGACCAGGCAGUGUUGUCUUCCCUACGAGUAGACUGAAUGACCAGACCAGACCAGGCAGUGUUGUCUUCCCUACCAGUAGACUGAAUGACCAGACCAGACCAGACCAGGCAGUGUUGUCUUCCCUACCAGUAGACUGAAUGACCAGACCAGACCAGGCAGUGCUCCCAGUGUAUCUGGACCAGGGACUAUUUGGCCUCAGUGACUGGCCUCUGCGGUGUUACCAUCAGUUUUGGACUAUAUAAACUGUAUUCGGACUGACUGACCAGCUCCAGUGAUCCUCCCUCCUUCCAUCCCAGCAGAAAACAUGACCCCUCAGACCCUUUAAACUCAGAC
rnacentral:lncRNA from 1 species